UACGGGGGGGGCAAGCGUUGUUCGGAAUUACUGGGCGUAAAGGGCUCGUAGGCGGCCAACUAAGUCAGCCGUGAAAUCCCUCGGCUUAACCGGGGAACUGCGUCUGAUACUGGAUGGCUCGAGUUUGGGAGAGGGAUGCGGAAUUCCAGGUGUAGCGGUGAAAUGCGUAGAUAUCGGGAGGAACACCAGUGGCGAAGGCGACUACCUGGCCUGUUCUUGACGCUGAGGCGCGAAAGCUAGGGGAGCAAACGGG
rnacentral:rRNA from 1 species